rnacentral:rRNA from 1 species
UACGUAGGGUGCAAGCGUUGUCCGGAAUUAUUGGGCGUAAAGAGCUCGUAGGCGGCUUACCAAGUCGGGUGUGAAACCUCCAGGCUCAACUUGGAGAUGCCACCCGAUACUGCUCUGACUUGAGUUCGGUAGGGGAGGUGGGGAAUUCCUGGUGUAGCGGUGAAAUGCGCAGAUAUCAGGAGGAACACCGGUGGCGAAGGCGCCACCUCUGGGCCGAAACUGACGCUGAGGAGCGAAAGCGUGGGUAGCAAACAGG